GAUGAAGAACGUAGCAAAAUGCGAUAAGUAAUGUGAAUUGCAGAAUUCAGUGAAUCAUCGAAUCUUUGAACGCACAUUGCGCCCGCCAGUAUUCUGGCGGGCAUGCCUGUUCGAGCGUCAUUUCAACCCUCAAGCACAGCUUGGUGUUGGGACUCGCGUUAAUUCGCGUUCCUCAAAUUGAUUGGCGGUCACGUCGAGCUUCCAUAGCGUAGUAGUAAAACCCUCGUUACUGGUAAUCGUCGCGGCCACGCCGUUAAACCCCAACUUCUGAAUGUUGAUCUCGGAUCAGGUAGGAAUACCCGCUGAACUUAAGCAUAUCAAUAAGCGGAGGA
rnacentral:misc_RNA from 1 species